rnacentral:misc_RNA from 1 species
AUUUGAUUUAACAUAUACAGCAAAAUCCAUUUUAUCGAUUUGAUUUGACAAAACCAGUCCAUAUACAGCACUGCCUUUUCUCACGAAUUCGUCUUCUACUCCAUAUUUCAAUUGCCACGCCUUCCAUAUCCUUAAUUUCUUCCCUUUGUUCACCAACCCCAUUCCAUCACCACCACAAUAAAUUUUUCUCAUCAUGGCUACCAUGAUUCCCAACCAUGUUAAAGGAGCGUAAGAGAUAUUAAAUUUGGAGAACCUCAUGAAACAAGUUUAGAGCAAGAAAGCUCUAACAAAGGUGAACAUUUUGCUGGUUGAGAAUGCAGAAGGGGAAACUGAUUUCUACUGGAAAUAUAGGUGUUUAGUCCAAUUUAAUUUCAAGAGCUAAUUGUUCUAUACAGGAAUAGAUUACAGAAAUCAACCACCCAUGAAUUAUUUCACAAAGACCUAAUUCCUUUUCAGCAUGUUAUAAUUAACAUCUGUCCUAAAGAGAACGUAGUUUUGUGGGUGACAGAAACAGCUCUAAGCAACACUCACAACAUUUACCUGCAACACAUAUACAUGCUCACAUAUAAACAUGCUAGCUGGUUGAAUUUUUAAUUCCUAAUUUUGCAACAUAUAAUUCCCAACAAUUGAAGUUUUUUCACAUACAUUACACCCUCUGGCUGAAAUUUGAGAAGGCAGGAUGAGGAUGGGGCUGCCCAUUGAGAGUCUGGUUGUUGGUGGAUGGCUGCGGCACGUGCUGCUGCUGGGCUGGGGAACUUCCAAAGUGAUGCAGGGCUGGCUGAUGGGAGGAGAAUUGUGGAGUCAAACCUCGAUUGAAGGGGUUUCCAUUGACGGCUGGUAUUUGGCCAGUUGCUAUCUUAAGCCGCUGCACCUCUUCCCUCAAUGCAUCAUUCAGAGCAUCUCUAAGUUGUGCUUGUUGCUCCAUAGCCUGUAAUCGCAGCUUCAGUUCCUUAUUUUCAGCUGUUAACCCAGUAGUGUCUCUCUGCAACAUUGUGACCUGUGCAGAGAGGGUGGUUGCUUCUGUCUGAAGUGUCUGUACCUUCCUCUCCAGCUCAUUAGUGUAUCGUACUUUCCUCUCCUUUGACCGUGCUGCAGAUUGCCUGUUAGCAAGAAUCCUCUUAGCUCUCUUGGGAUCAAUCAAAGCAAGCUCAGCAAGUCUAUCAGGACCGAUAGCUUUCUUAACGCCAUCGACCAUAACAGAAUCUAUCUCAAACGAGGUCGUACUCGACCCAUCCAUUGAAUUGCUAUGCCUAUGGUGUAA